GGUUAAGCGACUAAGCGUACACGGUGGAUGCCCUGGCAGUCAGAGGCGAUGAAGGACGUGCUAAUCUGCGAUAAGCGUCGGUAAGGUGAUAUGAACCGUUAUAACCGGCGAUUUCCGAAUGGGGAAACCCAGUGUGUUUCGACACACUAUCAUUAACUGAAUCCAUAGGUUAAUGAGGCGAACCGGGGGAACUGAAACAUCUAAGUACCCCGAGGAAAAGAAAUCAACCGAGAUUCUCCCAGUAGCGGCGAGCGAACGGGGAGCAGCCCAGAGCCUGAAUCAGUGUGUGUGUUAGUGGAAGCGUCUGGAAAGGCGCGCGAUACAGGGUGACAGCCCCGUACACAAAAAUGCACAUGCUGUGAGCUCGAUGAGUAGGGCGGGACACGUGGUAUCCUGUCUGAAUAUGGGGGGACCAUCCUCCAAGGCUAAAUACUCCUGACUGACCGAUAGUGAACCAGUACCGUGAGGGAAAGGCGAAAAGAACCCCGGCGAGGGGAGUGAAAAAGAACCUGAAACCGUGUACGUACAAGCAGUGGGAGCACGCUUAGGCGUGUGACUGCGUACCUUUUGUAUAAUGGGUCAGCGACUUAUAUUCUGUAGCAAGGUUAACCGAAUAGGGGAGCCGAAGGGAAACCGAGUCUUAACUGGGCGUUAAGUUGCAGGGUAUAGACCCGAAACCCGGUGAUCUAGCCAUGGGCAGGUUGAAGGUUGGGUAACACUAACUGGAGGACCGAACCGACUAAUGUGUUGAAAAAUUAGCGGAUGACUUGUGGCUGGGGGUGAAAGGCCAAUCAAACCGGGAGAUAGCUGGUUCUCCCCGAAAGCUAUUUAGGUAGCGCCUCGUGAAUUCAUCUCCGGGGGUAGAGCACUGUUUCGGCAAGGGGGUCAUCCCGACUUACCAACCCGAUGCAAACUGCGAAUACCGGAGAAUGUUAUCACGGGAGACACACGGCGGGUGCUAACGUCCGUCGUGAAGAGGGAAACAACCCAGACCGCCAGCUAAGGUCCCAAAGUCAUGGUUAAGUGGGAAACGAUGUGGGAAGGCCCAGACAGCCAGGAUGUUGGCUUAGAAGCAGCCAUCAUUUAAAGAAAGCGUAAUAGCUCACUGGUCGAGUCGGCCUGCGCGGAAGAUGUAACGGGGCUAAACCAUGCACCGAAGCUGCGGCAGCGACGCUUAUGCGUUGUUGGGUAGGGGAGCGUUCUGUAAGCCUGCGAAGGUGUGCUGUGAGGCAUGCUGGAGGUAUCAGAAGUGCGAAUGCUGACAUAAGUAACGAUAAAGCGGGUGAAAAGCCCGCUCGCCGGAAGACCAAGGGUUCCUGUCCAACGUUAAUCGGGGCAGGGUGAGUCGACCCCUAAGGCGAGGCCGAAAGGCGUAGUCGAUGGGAAACAGGUUAAUAUUCCUGUACUUGGUGUUACUGCGAAGGGGGGACGGAGAAGGCUAUGUUGGCCGGGCGACGGUUGUCCCGGUUUAAGCGUGUAGGCUGGUUUUCCAGGCAAAUCCGGAAAAUCAAGGCUGAGGCGUGAUGACGAGGCACUACGGUGCUGAAGCAACAAAUGCCCUGCUUCCAGGAAAAGCCUCUAAGCAUCAGGUAACAUCAAAUCGUACCCCAAACCGACACAGGUGGUCAGGUAGAGAAUACCAAGGCGCUUGAGAGAACUCGGGUGAAGGAACUAGGCAAAAUGGUGCCGUAACUUCGGGAGAAGGCACGCUGAUAUGUAGGUGAGGUCCCUCGCGGAUGGAGCUGAAAUCAGUCGAAGAUACCAGCUGGCUGCAACUGUUUAUUAAAAACACAGCACUGUGCAAACACGAAAGUGGACGUAUACGGUGUGACGCCUGCCCGGUGCCGGAAGGUUAAUUGAUGGGGUUAGCGCAAGCGAAGCUCUUGAUCGAAGCCCCGGUAAACGGCGGCCGUAACUAUAACGGUCCUAAGGUAGCGAAAUUCCUUGUCGGGUAAGUUCCGACCUGCACGAAUGGCGUAAUGAUGGCCAGGCUGUCUCCACCCGAGACUCAGUGAAAUUGAACUCGCUGUGAAGAUGCAGUGUACCCGCGGCAAGACGGAAAGACCCCGUGAACCUUUACUAUAGCUUGACACUGAACAUUGAGCCUUGAUGUGUAGGAUAGGUGGGAGGCUUAGAAGUGUGGACGCCAGUCUGCAUGGAGCCGACCUUGAAAUACCACCCUUUAAUGUUUGAUGUUCUAACGUUGACCCGUAAUCCGGGUUGCGGACAGUGUCUGGUGGGUAGUUUGACUGGGCGGUCUCCUCCUAAAGAGUAACGGAGGAGCACGAAGGUUGGCUAAUCCUGGUCGGACAUCAGGAGGUUAGUGCAAUGGCAUAAGCCAGCUUGACUGCGAGCGUGACGGCGCGAGCAGGUGCGAAAGCAGGUCAUAGUGAUCCGGUGGUUCUGAAUGGAAGGGCCAUCGCUCAACGGAUAAAAGGUACUCCGGGGAUAACAGGCUGAUACCGCCCAAGAGUUCAUAUCGACGGCGGUGUUUGGCACCUCGAUGUCGGCUCAUCACAUCCUGGGGCUGAAGUAGGUCCCAAGGGUAUGGCUGUUCGCCAUUUAAAGUGGUACGCGAGCUGGGUUUAGAACGUCGUGAGACAGUUCGGUCCCUAUCUGCCGUGGGCGCUGGAGAACUGAGGGGGGCUGCUCCUAGUACGAGAGGACCGGAGUGGACGCAUCACUGGUGUUCGGGUUGUCAUGCCAAUGGCACUGCCCGGUAGCUAAAUGCGGAAGAGAUAAGUGCUGAAAGCAUCUAAGCACGAAACUUGCCCCGAGAUGAGUUCUCCCUGACUCCUUGAGAGUCCUGAAGGAACGUUGAAGACGACGACGUUGAUAGGCCGGGUGUGUAAGCGCAGCGAUGCGUUGAGCUAACCGGUACUAAUGAACCGUGAGGCUUAACCUU
rnacentral:rRNA from 1 species